GGGUUGUGAGGUUAAGCGACUAAGCGUACACGGUGGAUGCCCUGGCAGUCAGAGGCGAUGAAGGACGUGCUAAUCUGCGAAAAGCGCCGGCGAGGUGAUAUGAACCCUUGACCCGGCGAUGUCCGAAUGGGGAAACCCAGUGCAAUCCGUUGCACUAUCGUUAACUGAAUACAUAGGUUAACGAGGCGAACCGGGGGAACUGAAACAUCUAAGUACCCCGAGGAAAAGAAAUCAACCGAGAUUCCCCCAGUAGCGGCGAGCGAACGGGGAGCAGCCCGGAGUCUGAAUCAGCUUGUGUGUUAGUGGAACGGUCUGGAAAGUCCGACGGUACAGGGUGAUAGUCCCGUACACGAAAGCACACAUGCUGUGAACUCGAAGAGUAGGGCGGGACACGUGGUAUCCUGUCUGAAUAUGGGGGGACCAUCCUCCAAGGCUAAAUACUCCUGACUGACCGAUAGUGAACCAGUACCGUGAGGGAAAGGCGAAAAGAACCCCGGCGAGGGGAGUGAAAAAGAACCUGAAACCGUGUACGUACAAGCAGUGGGAGCCUCUUUAUGGGGUGACUGCGUACCUUUUGUAUAAUGGGUCAGCGACUUAUAUUCUGUAGCAAGGUUAACCGUAUAGGGGAGCCGAAGGGAAACCGAGUCUUAACUGGGCGUUAAGUUGCAGGGUAUAGACCCGAAACCCGGUGAUCUAGCCAUGGGCAGGUUGAAGGUUGGGUAACACUAACUGGAGGACCGAACCGACUAAUGUUGAAAAAUUAGCGGAUGACCUGUGGCUGGGGGUGAAAGGCCAAUCAAACCGGGAGAUAGCUGGUUCUCCCCGAAAGCUAUUUAGGUAGCGCCUCGUGAAUUCAUCUUCGGGGGUAGAGCACUGUUUCGGCUAGGGGGCCAUCCCGGCUUACCAACCCGAUGCAAACUACGAAUACCGAAGAAUGUUAUCACGGGAGACACACGGCGGGUGCUAACGUCCGUCGUGAAGAGGGAAACAACCCAGACCGCCAGCUAAGGUCCCAAAGUCAUGGUUAAGUGGGAAACGAUGUGGGAAGGCACAGACAGCCAGGAUGUUGGCUUAGAAGCAGCCAUCAUUUAAAGAAAGCGUAAUAGCUCACUGGUCGAGUCGGCCUGCGCGGAAGAUGUAACGGGGCUAAACCAUGCACCGAAGCUGCGGCAGCGACGCUUAUGCGUUGUUGGGUAGGGGAGCGUUCUGUAAGCCGUUGAAGGUGUGCUGUGAGGCAUGCUGGAGGUAUCAGAAGUGCGAAUGCUGACAUAAGUAACGAUAAAGCGGGUGAAAAGCCCGCUCGCCGGAAGACCAAGGGUUCCUGUCCAACGUUAAUCGGGGCAGGGUGAGUCGACCCCUAAGGCGAGGCCGAAAGGCGUAGUCGAUGGGAAACAGGUUAAUAUUCCUGUACUUGGUGUUACUGCGAAGGGGGGACGGAGAAGGCUAUGUCAGCCGGGCGACGGUUGUCCCGGUUUAAGCAUGUAGGCGGAGGUUCCAGGUAAAUCCGGUACCUUUUAACGCUGAGGUGUGAUGACGAGGCACUACGGUGCUGAAGUGAUAAAUGCCCUGCUUCCAGGAAAAGCCUCUAAGCAUCAGGUAACACGAAAUCGUACCCCAAACCGACACAGGUGGUCAGGUAGAGAAUACCAAGGCGCUUGAGAGAACUCGGGUGAAGGAACUAGGCAAAAUGGUGCCGUAACUUCGGGAGAAGGCACGCUGAUGUGUAGGUGAAGCCCCUGCGGGUGGAGCUGAAAUCAGUCGAAGAUACCAGCUGGCUGCAACUGUUUAUUAAAAACACAGCACUGUGCAAACACGAAAGUGGACGUAUACGGUGUGACGCCUGCCCGGUGCCGGAAGGUUAAUUGAUGGGGUUAGCGGCAACGCGAAGCUCUUGAUCGAAGCCCCGGUAAACGGCGGCCGUAACUAUAACGGUCCUAAGGUAGCGAAAUUCCUUGUCGGGUAAGUUCCGACCUGCACGAAUGGCGUAAUGAUGGCCAGGCUGUCUCCACCCGAGACUCAGUGAAAUUGAACUCGCUGUGAAGAUGCAGUGUACCCGCGGCAAGACGGAAAGACCCGUGAACCUUUACUAUAGCUUGACACUGAACACUGGUCCUUGAUGUGUAGGAUAGGUGGGAGGCUUUGAAGCGUGGACGCCAGUCUGCGUGGAGCCGCCCUUGAAAUACCACCCUUUAAUGGCUGGUGUUCUAACGUGGACCCGUAAUCCGGGUUGCGGACAGUGUCUGGUGGGUAGUUUGACUGGGGCGGUCUCCUCCCAAAGAGUAACGGAGGAGCACGAAGGUUGGCUAAUCCUGGUCGGACAUCAGGAGGUUAGUGCAAUGGCAUAAGCCAGCUUGACUGCGAGCGUGACGGCGCGAGCAGGUGCGAAAGCAGGUCAUAGUGAUCCGGUGGUUCUGAAUGGAAGGGCCAUCGCUCAACGGAUAAAAGGUACUCCGGGGAUAACAGGCUGAUACCGCCCAAGAGUUCAUAUCGACGGCGGUGUUUGGCACCUCGAUGUCGGCUCAUCACAUCCUGGGGCUGAAGUAGGUCCCAAGGGUAUGGCUGUUCGCCAUUUAAAGUGGUACGCGAGCUGGGUUUAGAACGUCGUGAGACAGUUCGGUCCCUAUCUGCCGUGGGCGCUGGAGAAUUGAGGGGGGCUGCUCCUAGUACGAGAGGACCGGAGUGGACGCAUCACUGGUGUUCGGGUUGUCAUGCCAAUGGCACUGCCCGGUAGCUAAAUGCGGAAGAGAUAAGUGCUGAAAGCAUCUAAGCACGAAACUUGCCCCGAGAUGAGUUCUCCCUGAGACUUUAAGUCUCCUGAAGGAACGUUGAAGACGACGACGUUGAUAGGUCGGGUGUGUAAGCGCAGCGAUGCGUUGAGCUAACCGAUACUAAUGAACCGUGAGGCUUAACCUUACAACGCCGAAGGUGUUU
rnacentral:rRNA from 1 species